GACGAACGCUGGCGGCGUGCCUAACACAUGCGAGUCGAACGGAAAGGUCCUGCUUUUGUGGGGUGCUCGAGUGGCGAACGGGUGAGUAACACGUGAGUAACCUGUCCCUGACUUUGGGAUAACUUCAGGAAACUGGGGCUAAUACCGGAUAGGAGCUCCUGCUGCAUGGUGGGGGUUGGAAAGUUUCGGUGGUUGGGGAUGGACUCGCGGCUAAUGAGCUUGUUGGUGGGGUAGUGGCUGACCAAGGCAAUGACGGGUAGCCGGCCUGGGAGGGUGAGCUGCCACGCUAGGACUGAGCUACGGCCCAGCCUCCUACGGGACGCAACGGUGGAGAGUAUUACACAAUGGGCGGGAGCCUGGUGCGGCAACGCCGCGUGCGGGAUGACGGGCUUCGGGUUGUAAACCACUUUCGCCUGUGACGAGGCGUGAGUGACGGUAAUGGGUAAAGAAGCACCGGCUAACUACGUG
rnacentral:rRNA from 1 species